UACAAUACUGCCUCUGUUGGGAAUACUGACUCUGGACGAUAUAGUUCAGGUGCACCUCUUUACCCCAGAGCAGAAUCUGGUCCUGCAAUUUCACGGGCUCCAAUGAAUUAUGUGCGUCCACCUCAGCCUUCUUAUCAACAGCCUCCUCAGUCUUCUUAUCAGCAGCCAUCACCAAUGUACUCCAACAGAGGACCUGUAGCCAAGAAUGAAGCACCUCCAAGGAUUAUUCCAAUUGCUGCUCUCAAUCCAUAUCAGGGUCGGUGGACUAUCAAGGCCAGGGUAACUGCAAAGACGGAACUCAGACACUAC
rnacentral:lncRNA from 1 species